rnacentral:rRNA from 1 species
UGAAUACGAGAUGCUACGGCGUCGAAGCAGUGUAUGUCAGACUUCCAAGAAAAGCUCGCAAUGUCAUAAAUAAAGAAUGCCUGUACCAUAACCGACACAGGUGGGUAGGUAGAGUAUACUAAGGGGCGCGAGAUAACUCUCUCUAAGGAACUCGGCAAAGUAACUCCGUAACUUCGGGAGAAGGAGUGCCUUCUUUAAGAAGGUUGCAAUAACAAGAUCCAAGCAACUGUUUAUCAAAAACACAGGUCUCCGCUAAGUCGUAAGACGAUGUAUGGGGGCUGACGCCUGCCCAGUGCCAGAAGGUUAAAGAAGUUGGUUAGCUUUUGCGAAGCUGAUGACUGAAGCCCUGGUGAACGGCGGCCGUAACAAUAACGGUCCUAAGGUAGCGAAAUUCCUUGUCGGGUAAGUUCCGACCCGCACGAAAGGCGUAAUGAUUUGGAUACUGUCUCGGAGAGGGACUCGGUGAAAUAGACUUGUCUGUGAAGAUGCGGACUACCUGCACCAGGACAGAAAGACCCUAUGAAGCUUUACUGUAACUUGAAAUUGAAAUUGGACUUUAUUUGCGCAGUAUAGGUGGAAGGCGUUGAAAGUAAUCUUGCGGGAUUAGUGGAGCCAUCAGUGAGAUACCACUCCUAUAAUGUUAGAUUUCUAACUUUGGAUCAUGAUCUGGUCAAAGAACAGUUUCAGGUGGGCAGUUUGACUGGGGCGGUCGCCUCCCAAAUGGUAACGGAGGCGUACAAAGGUUUCCUCUGAACGGGUAGAAAUCGUAUCUAGAGUGUAAAGGCAUAAGGAAGCUUGACUGUGAGACCUACAAGUCGAGCAGGGACGAAAGUCGGUCUUAGUGAUCUGACGGUGCUGAGUGGAAAGGCCGUCACUCAACGGAUAAAAGUUACUCUAGGAUAACAGGCUGAUCUCCCCCAAGAGUUCACAUCGACGGGGAGGUUUGGCACCUCGAUGUCGGCUCAUCGCAUCCUGGGGCGGUAGUACGUCCCAAGGGUUGGGCUGUCCGCCCAUGAAAGCGGUACGCGAGCUGGGUUCAGAACGUCGUGAGACAGUUCGGUCCAUAUCCGGUGUAGGCGUUAGAAUAUUGAGAGGAGCCUUCUUUAGUACGAGAGGACCGAGAAGGACAUACCUCUGGUGUACCAGUUAUCGUGCCAACGGUAAACGCUGGGUAGCUAUGUAUGGAGAGGAUAACCGCUGAAAGCAUCUAAGUGGGAAGCCCACCUCAAGAUGAGUAUUCUCGU